rnacentral:rRNA from 1 species
UACGUAGGGUGCGAGCGUUAAUCGGAAUUACUGGGCGUAAAGCGUGCGCAGGCGGUUUUGUAAGCCAGAUGUGAAAUCCCCGGGCUUAACCUGGGAAUGGCAUUUGGGACUGCAAGGCUUGAGUGCGGCAGAGGAGACUGGAAUUCCUGGUGUAGCAGUGAAAUGCGUAGAUAUCAGGAGGAACACCGAUGGCGAAGGCGGCAUCCUGGACCAAUUCUGACGCUGAGGAGCGAAAGCCAGGGGAGCAAACGGG